UACGUAGGGUGCAAGCGUUAAUCGGAAUUACUGGGCGUAAAGCGUGCGCAGGCGGUUCGCUAAGACAGAUGUGAAAUCCCCGGGCUUAACCUGGGAACUGCAUUUGUGACUGGCGGGCUAGGGUAUGGCAGAGGGGGGUAGAAUUCCACGUGUAGCAGUGAAAUGCGUAGAGAUGUGGAGGAAUACCGAUGGCGAAGGCAGCCCCUGGGCCAAUACUGACGCUCAUGCACGAAAGCGUGGGGAGCAAACAGGAUUAGAAACCCGGGUAGU
rnacentral:rRNA from 1 species